rnacentral:rRNA from 1 species
UUACUGACGCUAAAGCUCGAAGGUGCGGGUAUCGAACAGGAUUAGAUACCCUGGUAGUCCGCACGGUAAACGAUGGAUGCCCGCUGUUUGCGAUAUACUGUGAGCGGCCAAGAGAAAUCGUUAAGCAUCCCACCUGGGGAGUACGCCGGCAACGGUGAAACUCAAAGGAAUUGACGGGGGCCCGCACAAGCGGAGGAACAUGUGGUUUAAUUCGAUGAUACGCGAGGAACCUUACCCGGGCUUGAACUGCAGGAGAAGGAUACAGAGAUGUUGACGCCCUUCGGGGCUCCUGUGGAGGUGCUGCAUGGUUGUCGUCAGCUCGUGCCGUGAGGUGUCGGCUUAAGUGCCAUAACGAGCGCAACCCUUUUCUUCAGUUGCCAUCAGGUGAUGCUGGGCACUCUGGAGACACUGCCACCGUAAGGUGUGAGGAAGGUGGGGAUGACGUCAAAUCAGCACGGCCCUUACGUCCGGGGCUACACACGUGUUACAAUGGGUGGUACAGAGAGUCGGUCGUCUGCAAAUGCGAUCCAAUCCUUAAAGCCAUCCUCAGUUCGGAUUGGGGUCUGCAACCCGACCCCAUGAAGCUGGAUUCGCUAGUAA